rnacentral:piRNA from 1 species
UGUCAGAAAACUACCCAACCCAGAUGGGGU